UCUCUGUUAGCAGCCAGGGGGAAGGAGCUCUUGUAAAAAUGCUACUCAGAAGUGCUUUGCUGCCUGUUCUGCUGCUGAUCAUAGGUCCAAAGAAGUGCAACCUGUUACAGCAAUACUUGGAGUCUCUUUUGUCUGGCCUUGUUUAUAACAGCGAGAGUCUUCAGUGUCAAGUCAGGAAAAUGCAGUCCCUGUCCAUAGAGCUGAAUUCAGCAUGGAGAAAAGUACUACCACUUUAGUAAAGAGUCAAGGACAUGGCCUGAAAGUAGUGCUGCUCCUCUCAUGGCUCCAGCCUGCUGAGGAUUGGUGGCAAGGAGGAGCAGGUUUCCAGUAACUCCUGUGCAGUCUGGAGGGACAUGUGCACUUUUUAAUGCUGGGUAUGCCUCAGCCUAUAAGUGCUGAACAAUACUAUUGCAUUUGUGGAAAAUCAGCUGCUUAAUGGAGGUAGUGGCCCUGAAGGGAAAAUGGAUAGAACUUCCAGGGGAGACCUCCUGGGCUAGUCUAUAGAUGAGGAAAAAUCAUCUCUCCCAAACUUGCCACUCUGCCUUUGAGGAAGUGGAACUGUGAUUCCAGACAACAGCAAAAGUUUUGUCAUGUGUUUCCCAACUGGUCAGAGUCCCUCCUUCCCCCAACUACACUCUGGGACUGUCAUUCCCAUUCUGGUUUGAGCAGAGUUCAUCUUAAAGUUGCAAAUAGUCAAUAAAAACUCAGCAAUUGACAUGAAUGUUUUGGUGUGUUAAGCACUUUUCCAUUCACAAAUGGGAGAGGCACAAAGAGGGUUUCCUGGUGAGGAACCUGUGUACAUCUGUGGGAUUUGUUGUUUGGAUGUGGCUAGGGAUGGGCAAGAGCAGUUCCAGAGCCAGAAGCACUAUCCAGAGGACUGCUCUGUCAUCUGGAAUUAGUAUAAAAACCCACGUUGUCUGUCUCAUGGAUGCAUCCAACACAAAUAGGAUGACAUCUUUUCCAACAUAGACUGUUUGUUUCAUGUUUCUAAGGUUUUUCAGGAGUUUGGAUGUCAGAUGAUCUCCUAAUUUUGUGAUGAUGCCACCUGAUUAGUGACCAGGGGUUAGACUAGCACCGGAUACAUCAUACAACUUGACAUAAAAAGACUAUGUGUACAAUACCCAUGCCCAUAAGAACUGGUCUGUAGGUAGCAAUUAUAGCAGCUGACAUAGGUUUGAGGAGACCCCCAGUGUACAUUUUGAGACUGGAUCUUAAAUAUCCCUGGCUCGCAAACAAUUCAUAAUAGUUCCAUAUCAGAAUAGCAGGAGGUUUCAAGUAGAGUCCCAUAGGCUUUAUUCUGGGCCCAGUGCUGUUCAAUAUUUUUGUUAAUGGUGCUGGCAUAGAAAGCUUCUUGAGCAAGUUUGCAAACAACACAACUGGGAAAUAUUGAAAACACAUUGGAGGACAUGAGCAAAAUGUGGAAGGAUCUUGAUGGAUCAGAAAGUUGGGCUAGAGUUAACAGAAUGAAGUUCAGUGUGGAUAAAUGCAAGAUGCUGCACUUUGGGAGGAAUAAUAAAUAAAAAAAGUAUAAAAUGGACUUUCUGCCUUUCCAAUAUUUCUGAUCUGCACCUAGCCAAACUCACCAAUAUCUGGAUUUGCACAGCUUUUGUCUGUUUCUCUAACAGUUUCAGAGCAGUAUAAAUCUUUAACAAAUCUUCCCUCAGCGGUAGUAUUUUUGUAAACGUUCUGCUUUUUUUGUAUCUCUGCAUUCUCCCUAAACCUUUCAUUACAUCUUUUUUUCCCCCAAUUGCUGGCACAGACUUAUUGCCCAAUAGUCAGCAUAUAGCUUUAGUAGUAUAGUAACCAGCAAUUUUGUAGUGCCACAUUCAUCUUCUGGAAAUCUCACUUCCAGAAAGCUUCUUCCUAGAAAAGGUGCAUACUGUCCUCUACCUCCUAUAAUUUCUACUAUAUCUUGCAAGCAUUGCAUCUCCUGAUGGAAACAUUUUGUUUAUUAUAAACUUUCAGACACGCAGAUUAUUUGGGAUCUUGUAUCAAGGUGACAAACAGUUUCUACUCCAUUAAAAUAAACAGUUAAAUUUGUAGAUUCUCUCACUGUAAUCUGUACCAGUAAUCAAUAUCAUUGGUUUCAAAACUGCCACCUUGAAACUUCUUUGUUUUGUCUGCAUGGCUAUAUUGGCUCUUACACCUUUAUCUGACCAUUUCUUUCCUCUAAAAAGGACCCAUUCCUGAAAUUUUAGAUGCAUCACUACAGCACUAUCUGUUCAUCAAAUCUAUGUGGGCAACUAUCAUCUUCUCUUUUCUAUGUGGCAGAAAAAUGUUUCUUGAGGUUGCAGUUUUUCUUUCUCUAUCAGUUUUUCUUCCUUUCUCUGCCCUUUCCAUGAUGCCAAAAGCUUGUUGCACUAAGGCACCUAACUGCAAUGAUUUCUUUCUUCAGCUUUGUAAUGCCACCUUGUUAGGAGUCUUUCCUCUUUCAUGCCAGCCAGUUCCUUGGUCAAAGGAGCUACCUGCUCAGAAUUUUUAUCUUCUUGGACUUGGAACUUUCCAGUGUAGCUUGCACCAUGCUCCUUGUUUUCUAUCAUGCAGGUCUUGCUACCAGGGACUUUCUGUCCGCUUCCCAAAAUAUUUACUCUUUUCCCUUCCUUACCCAUUUUUAUUCGUCUAAAGUACAGAUUUUUAAUUGUAGUUCUAAGUAAGAUAUUGUCCUCCCAUUAGCCUUACCUAAGCAGUCGUACAGAUUGGGUGAUUCAGAUUUCUUCCCAACAUCCACUCUCAAAUCGUUGGACCAUGUUUUGACCAGGAUUCUGACCCACCAAACCUCCUUUAUUUUGCAUGUUUUGAAGGCAAUAGUUCAAUCUGGUCAAAUAUUGAGGAGGCUUUUCACAUUGCAUUUGAAACUUUGAGAUAAACUGUACAUAUAAUAACUUUGCACUAAUAAAUGUAAUGGACUGUAAUGUUGUAGCAUGAACUACAGUUCCCAGAAGGCUGAUGGAGAGGAAGUGAAAGAGGGCUGGACUGUGUCACAACCCAAGGGGGGGGGUGUGCACGUGUGUGUGUGUGCGUGCACAUGCUUCGGCACUGCUAAAUUAUUUCCCGCCAGGAGGAGCUUUCUUUGCAGGGUGCAUUUCUCAGUUGCAAAGAGAGAACCCCGGUGCAAAGGAGUUCCCGCCACCUGCAUGCAAAUUUGUGUCCCACUGUUGGCCAGUUGUAAAUUAUUCCCACGUGGAGGCUAGCGAUUGGCUUGCUAGCCGUAUAAGAGGCUUGAGCAGUUUCCGCCCAAGUUGGAGAACUCCAAGGAGAACCCCGCAAGGGAGGACUCCACAACCAUCUGGAGGAGGAGGACUUCACAUCUCAUGAAGAACUCUAAGCGCUGCAGAGCCUAACGGACCCAGUGUGUACCUUUAAGAAGGCUAUAGGGGUCUGAUCAACCUCUGGCCUCUCCCCAUCGCCAAACAAUCCCUUGACAAACCCCUUCCCUGCGCGCAAGUUUCACGGAGCCUAGCAAACUUUGCAUGAGUGUAUCCAGAGCUCUUCUCCGAGUUGUUUUCUUCGGUUGACACGAUGGGCUCGCGUUUUUUUUUAGAGUCUUCAGCCAGAUUGGGCUAGAGUUCACGAGUUUAGAACUCCUUGUCCGCUUUUCUUCUUUCCUGUCUGUAACUGCAACUCAAGUUUUCCUGCCUGCACCGCAACCAUUUACGGUGUAAGUAAAAUAAUCUUUAAUCAACUGCUACGCGUCCAUGCCUAAUUCUAGUCCGCCGGCCUGCAUUCCCUGACCCGCGUGCCAGGGCUGCUGGCCACAGCCCGCCGCAUGCCCCCAAGGGCCUGACCGCUCCCGGCCCGCACAGACUGUAAUGUUGUAGCAUGAACUACAGUUCGCAGAAGGCUGAUGGAGAGGAGAGGAAGUGAAAGAGGGCUGGACUGUAAUGUUGUAGCAUGAACUAUGGUUCCUAGAGGACUGCUAGGGAAGAGAAGAAGCAGAGGAGAGCUGGGACUGUGCAAAAAUGGCUCUGCAGUUGGAGAGUAGCAGUGAGAGGUGGCAACCAGUGAGAUGUGUGGAAGAGACUAAAAGGAGAAGCAGAGUUGAAUCUGUAAGCCACCACAGCAGGGCUCAGGCAUGGAGCCUGGGUAGGCAGUAAUUAAGUGUUCUGUGGGACCAAAGAGCGGUUUGGAGAUCCUUAUGGAGUUGAGGAAGCAUCUAAGGUUUCUUCAUUGUAUAUACCUUGCUGUUAAUAGGCAAUUUUACAUGUGAUUCUGGUGUGGGGAGGGGCAAUGCUUUAAUUAUAGUCUGCCUGAGAGCAGCUCUAACUUAAAGCACCACUGUGUCUCGUG